rnacentral:rRNA from 1 species
CAGUAGCCACGGUAAAACAGAGGAUGCAAGCGUUAAUCGGAAUUACUGGGCGUAAAGCGUGCGUAGGCGGUUCGUUAAGUCUGUUGUGAAAGCCCCGGGCUCAACCUGGGAAUGGCAAUGGAUACUGGCGAGCUAGAGUGUGUCAGAGGAUGGUGGAAUUCCCGGUGUAGCGGUGAAAUGCGUAGAGAUCGGGAGGAACAUCAGUGGCGAAGGCGGCCAUCUGGGACAACACUGACGCUGAGGCACGAAAGCGUGGGGAGCAAACAGGAUUAGAGACCCCCGUAGUCCCUGUCUCUUAUAC